AACACUGUUAACCUGCGGUACCUGCGGAGGGAUCAUUGCUGGAACGCGCUUCGGCGCACCCAGAAACCCUUUGUGAACUUAUACCUAUUUGUUGCCUCGGCGUAGGCCGGCCUCUUCACUGAGGCCCCCUGGAAACAGGGAGCAGCCCGCCGGCGGCCAACUAAACUCUUGUUUCUGUAGUGAAUCUCUGAGUAAAAACAUAAAUGAAUCAAAACUUUCAACAACGGAUCUCAGAUCGGA
rnacentral:misc_RNA from 1 species